CACGUAGGGGGCAAGCGUUGUCCGGAUUCAUUGGGCGUAAAGCGCUCGUAGGCGGUUCGAUAAGUCGGGUGUGAAACCUCCAGGCUCAACCUGGAGACGCCACCCGAUACUGUCGUGACUAGAGUCCAGUAGGGGAGCGUGGAAUUCCUGGUGUAGCGGUGAAAUGCGCAGAUAUCAGGAGGAACACCAGCGGCGAAGGCGGCGCUCUGGGCUGGAACUGACGCUGAGGAGCGAAAGCGUGGGGAGCGAACAGG
rnacentral:rRNA from 1 species